CUCCGAGUGUCGUCGGUUUGACGCGAGAUCCCGGUUCUUCGAUAAGAUGGGCUGUGGUACGGUGUUAACCCGGACUGAUGAAAAAAUGUAUCGCCCCACUGGUGCAGCAUUUGACACGGACCGAAAACAUGAGAGAUUUAAAAUAUAAGGGUUGUAGCUUGGAAUGGGCAGAGCUUAUGCUACACUCAACCCUUUGUUCGGGUUGUCCUGUUAAUUUUACGUUACAUCGGACCAUCCAACAGAAUUCUAUGUCGUGAUUGACAGUGAACGAUUGCGAGCCAGCAGUGAUGUGGCUGUCUGGGCUGCACAUCCCCGAGUCGUAUCUGACGGCGCUCGUGCAGGCCACGUGCAGGAAGAACGGAUGGCCAUUGGACAAGUCCACCCUCUACACCACAGUCACCAAGUACACGGACCCUGAUGACGUCAACGACCGGGCCUCCAGUGGUAAUUAGGCGGCUCAUUCAAUUAAUUGUGUUUGAGCCGGACCUCGCAACAAAGGAACAUAAUCGCACUGAGUCCUACAGGGGUUGUGUCUUAUACUUAGCACAGACCAGCUGUACACAUACUCAACACAUAGUCAUAUGGAUACUCAACGCAUAGUCACACAUAUACUUAACACAUAUUCAUGCACAUACUCAACACUUAGUCGCACACAUACUCAACACAUAGUCACACAAAUACUCAACACAUAGUCAUACACAUACUCAACACAAAGUCCUACACAUACUCAACACAUAGUCAUACACAUACUCAACACAUAGUCAUACAUACACACAACACAUAGUCACACAUAUACUUAACACAUAGUCAUGCAAUACUCAACACAUAGUCACACACAUACUCAACACAGACUAGCCCUACACAUAUUCAACACAAACUUGUCUAUGAUUAUUUAACAUAAACUAGCUUAUUUGACUACAAACAGAAUAUCGCUGAACAGUUUAAACUUUUAGACUAAACAAACUAUUCAUUGAUGACAAUUUGUUUUUUUACUUUUUACUUUCUCGUAUAUACGUAGUAUAGAGAAAGUAUUGUAAUCGUGCAAAAAAAAAAAUCGAGAUUUUUACAAAUCUCGACGUUUUACACCUCACUGAUACGGAAAAACAUAAUUUUGCAAUCUUGUCCGUAUGUCUGUGUGUGUGUGUGUGUGUGUGUCUGUGUGUCUGUGUGUAAACACGAUUACUUGAGUACCGUUACAGCUAGGUUGAUGAAAUUUCAUAUAUAAGUAUUAUAUCAAAAUCGUAGAUCCGUAUCAACUUUUGAGCGAUUUCCGAUAACCGGAAGUGGUACUUUUUCUACUUUGAAUUUUUCAAAAGCCUAUAACUUGAGUACUAAUUCAGAUAGAUAAAUGAAAUUUCACAUGUAAGUAAAAGAUCUAAUUCUCUACCUUCUGUUAAAUUUUGAGUAAUUUCCGUUGACCGGAAGUAGUAAUUUACGCUACUUCCGAUUUCUCAAAAAACUAAUGUAAAUUUUUAAAGUACUAAUAAUAUUGCGCAUUAUUAUGCACUUUUGUUUCGGCGUUUGUUUGGUGCGCAAUGUUUUUUUCUAUGAGAUUCUAUUCUAUUUUUAAAAGUUUAAGUAAUUAAAAAUCAUGUCUACAUUCCAAGUUAUAUAAGAAUAUUCGAGAAAGUUUAGGGGAGAUCACUCCCGG